rnacentral:lncRNA from 1 species
AGACGAACUAUUGAAAGGGACUUGCGCAGUCUAGCUGCAUCCAGCCAGAUACUAGUAGAACCCAAAACAUUGUUUUGACAAGUACUGUCAUAUUUCGGUUGCAGGUUUUUACUAAAUACCAAGCUGAUCCUACGAGCUACGACAGUUUUACCUACCAAUGUUUAGCGUUUCGUGCUGCAGCUAGUAGUUGAUAUUCUAGGAUGUUAUGCCUAAAAUUGGAAUUCAGCUAUCAGAGAUUAGCAAAAUUGAAGCGGAAUCUCUAGAUGGCGUUUAUGUACGUCUAUGAUGAAGAUUAUGAGUGACAAGUUAAUUGGGUGUUUGUUACGUUAUCCUGUUUUGUGUUUCAAAGGAUUUUUCGUCAAAAAAUUUACGAUUGCUUUUUGUAUAUGGUGGUGUUUCACCUUGUCAGCUAUGCCAGCUGCGAACCAGCAGCCUGCAUUCCUGCUAUCAAUGUACCACAAGAGAUCCUGACACUUUAAUAAGGCCACUAUUGCUUACAUGAAGAUCACCAUCCAGUUCAAUCAACGACAGAGUCUUCAUCUACUUUGUGUUGCUAACCAUCAGCCCUCAACAUCCCACGUAUCCAGAUUUCCAAGUUUCUCUGAUUAGCUAAUCAUCAUCCAUACCCUUGAGCUCUUCAGCGUGGCUUCUCUUCCUCUCUUCCUAGUCUGCUGAAUACCAAGAUUGAAUAAGGUUCCUCGUCAUUGCCUUUCCAUGCCAACUCACAUGGAUGGGAUGUAACUAAGAAAAAAUUCUGUGAUAGGACUGCAAAUAUUCAUCUUCCUUCGGUACAACACUGCCGUUUUGACAAUUUCUGUAGUUUCGCCCCCAGUGAACCACACGCAACUACAUUUUCUUAAUCUUCCUUUCGUUGUUGUCUACGACUUCACCUCAUCGCUGUCUUCGUUGACGUCUUCGCCUUCAUCUCCGUCUCGUCGUCUUGGCCGUCUUCGCCUUUGUUUCAUCGCCGUCUUUUUCUACGCCAACACUUUGUCGCCGGCUUCUCCUUCGCCCUUCACGUAGGAAAUUCACCGUGGAUCGUCGUCCUGGUAUUGUUUUAUUUUGCAUUGUUGUGUAACUUGUGUUUAAGUUAACCCGUUGGCUGCCACCCCGUUUGCGUCCCAUUUUUUUUGUAGCUUGUAGGGACCGGCCGCAAUGGCCUACGCCGCAAGGCG